GAGGGAUUUAAUGAGGGCGGUGGAGACACUCAGGGAGGAGAAGGAGAAGAAAGAAGGAGGAAGAAGAGGAAGAAAAAAAAAGUGUAAAUUGGAGGAAGAAAAAGAAAAAAGAAAUAGCGCAACUUCAUCCUAAAGAGUGCAAGUUCAUCCUAAAGAGUGUAAAUCUCAUUUCCAAGACUGUAAUUUCUGUCUCAAAGAGUGCAACGUUUAUUUAAAAUAAUGCAAAUGUUUUUCAAAAUUGUGCAACAUUAUUUUAACAGUAUAAUAGUGUAAUUUUAUUAUUUUCUUUCUUCUUAUAUGAUUUUUGAUCUUUUAUGGAGGAAAAAAAAUAUUUUUUUAUUUUUAUUUUUUUCUUUAUAAUUUUUUUGGU
rnacentral:lncRNA from 1 species